ACGUAGGUGGCGAGCGUUAUCCGGAUUUACUGGGCGUAAAGCGUGUGUAGGCGGGCUGUCAAGUGGUGUAUGAAAUCGCUCGGCUUAACCGGGCGCGGUUAUGCCAGACUGACAGUCUGGAGUGCGGGAGAGGGGCGUGGAAUUCCGCGUGUAGCAGUGAAAUGCGUAGAUAUGCGGAGGAACACCGAUGGCGAAGGCAAUCCCCUGGACCUGUACUGACGCUCAUGCACGAAAGCGUGGGGAGCAAACAGGA
rnacentral:rRNA from 1 species